rnacentral:misc_RNA from 1 species
GAUGAAGAACGCAGCGAAAUGCGAUAAGUAAUGUGAAUUGCAGAAUUCAGUGAAUCAUCGAAUCUUUGAACGCACAUUGCGCCCUCUGGUAUUCCGGAGGGCAUGCCUGUUCGAGCGUCAUUUCGACCCUCAAGCAUUGCUUGGUGUUGGGGCACCGCCUGUAAAAGGGCGGGCCCUGAAAUCUAGUGGCGAGCUCGCCAGGACCCCGAGCGUAGUAAUUAUAUUUCGUUCUGGAAGGCCCUGGCGGUGCCCUGCCGUUAAACCCCCAACUUCUGAAAAUUUGACCUCGGAUCAGGUAGGAAUACACGCUGAACUUAAGCAUAUCAAUAAGCGGAGGA